GUACAAAAUUGAGAUAACGGGUAUUCCACCGGCUGGGGAGCAUGGUGUGAUCAUGGCUCACUGCAACCUCGAACUCCUGGCCUCAAGCAAUCCUUCCACCUCAGCCUCCUGAGUUGUUGAGACUACAGGCGCACGCCACUGCACCCAGCUAAUUUUUUUUUGUAGAGACGAGGUCUUGCUUUGUUGCCCAGGCUGUUCUCAAAUUCCUGGCCUCAAGAGAUCUGCCUGCCUCCGGCUCCCAAAGUGCUGAGAUUACAGGGGUUAGCCAGCAUGCCUGGGAAUUCUGAAAUUUUUCAAACACUACCUCCAGAACUCACUGAUGUGCUAUUGCCCCUGUAUAUAAAAUGUGAAGUGCAGCACACAAACAUUUUCUAAUAUAAGGUGUUCUUUUUUCAUGUCAAGAUGUGUAAAAAGUGGUCUCGGACUUGUUCCCAGUUGUUACCCCAAAAUUAUAGAAGACUAAACCAAAAUAGAAUACCUUGUGUUUAAAUAGGGGAUAGUUCUCAAAAAUUCAGUUAAUUCCUGAUAUUCUGGAAUGGCUCUAUAUAAAUAUCAAUGAUAGUAAAGACUUAAACUCAUCACAUAUUUUGCACUCUCUUAGUACUCAAAAUCCUAGACACUGAAUUUUUUCUAGCAGGGUCAUAGCUUUGUACCUUUACUACCACUUGCUAUUAGUGUUUAGUUGAAGCUAGAGACCUGACAUAGAUAAUGAAUUUCUCUUUUUAGCCUCAUAGACAGUUUCUUUUCUACAUUAAUGAACUUCAAGUCACAAUGUCCUAGUCUCCUCUCAAAGUUUUUCCCAUUUACAGUGAACCAGUUCUGCAUCUGAACCAUAACAACUAAUUUCCACUCUUCUGGACAUUUUAACUCAUUUAACCUGUUAAAAGGAGAAGCAUCCUGAGAAAGUUACAUAUUCACCACCCAGAUAUAAGGAAAGAAGACUCAAUAGUGGGGAGAAAAUUAAACCUUAUUUAUUUUUAAAGUCAAA